rnacentral:rRNA from 1 species
ACCAAGGCGCUUGAGAGAACUCGGGUGAAGGAACUAGGCAAAAUGGUGCCGUAACUUCGGGAGAAGGCACGCUGAUAGGUAGGUGAAGUCCCUGCGGACGGAGCUGAAAUCAGUCGAAGAUACCAGCUGGCUGCAACUGUUUAUUAAAAACACAGAUGCUCAAUGAAUUAAACUUCGUAAUGAAUUACGUGUUCACUCGUUGAGACUUGGUAUUUAUUUAUCGUCCGAGGACAUUAAGAAUCCAUGUCACUUUGAGUGCCCACACAGAUUGUCUGAUAAAUUGUUAAAGAGCAGUGCCGCUUCGUUUUCG